AUGGCGUGUAAAAGAAACCUGAGUUUUACUACUCCCGUGAGUAAUAGGGCUUUGCAACCAGCAGCAAGCCCACUGAGCAUAAAUGAUUUAACGAAACAGCUGAUCUCCGGUCAGAACGCUUUGUCUCGUCAGCUUGAGGGUUUGAUGGAGAAGCAAGCUGCAAACACUGUUCUUCUCGAAGAUGCUAUCCAGCGUCUUUGUGCUCUUGAGCGAAAGUUUGACGAGCAAAGACCGCAAGAGGAACAAAGACCGCGGGAAGAGCCAUUACAUAAAAGGAUAAAGAGGGCGCACAACGUGGGCAUUGCGGAAGCUGUAAGGCGCCUUCACAAUUCGGAAAACAACCCACAUAAAUAUGAUCCACAAACUGGAAUAAGUUCGCCUCGUAACCAAGCAGUCAUGACUUAUCUGCUAGAGGAAUUGAAAACAACUUUUGCAGAUGCAGACCCUGAGUGUAUACAAGCGUGUUGCAAGACAUACUUUGAAACACUUCGGAGAAAGUACAAUUUGUCUCAGCCAGAAAAGUCCCAGCUAAGAGAUGCCAUUAAAACAGGAGCUAAAAACCGACAAAGGAAAAGACGGUUGCUGGAUUCCAGGUCCAAGGUUGUUCAAACCGAUGCAGAGAGAGAGCUUUGGCAGACUGCAACAGUGGAGCUGAUGUCUGACGAGGAGGAUGCCAUUGUUGAUGGAAGGCCAGUGUGGAUUGUGAGGUCUCCAUCUCACAGGAACCCACAAUUGUCAGAACUUUGUGAGGAGCUUCAGCGCAGAUUGGAGGCAGACAUGCGCUACACUAUUUUGCAUCAUCAGCGUGUUAAGGCUGAUGGAAAUGGACAUGAUGGACCUUCCUUUCUUCAACUUUAA
ensembl:lncRNA